UACGAAGGGUGCAAGCGUUACUCGGAAUUACUGGGCGUAAAGCGUGCGUAGGUGGUGAGUUAAGUCUGAUGUGAAAUCCCCGGGCUCAACCUGGGAAUGGCAUUGGAUACUGGCUCGCUAGAGUGCGGUAGAGGGUGGUGGAAUUCCCGGUGUAGCAGUGAAAUGCGUAGAUAUCGAGAGGAACACCAGUGGCGAAGGCGAGUCCCUGGACGACUCCUGACACUGAGGCACGAAAGCUAGGGGAGCAAACAGG
rnacentral:rRNA from 1 species